AAAUGAUGGAUUUCCAUCUUACAAUUGAAUGCAAGUAGGUUGCAAGGUUGAUGGAAAGUAGAAAAGUUUCCUGACUUGCGUGAACAGAAAAGAAACAUCAAUUUGAAAGGAAACCAUUUAUUUAUUUACUUCCUCUACAGUUUUCCUGACUGCUACAUUUCAUAAGAAGGGAUUGUUUAUGAGGGUCAAGGAGCUGGAGGCCUGGGGAGGAGCUGGUGUUUCUGUUCAAGUUUGAGGGUCCUGGAGCUGGAGCCCAGGGGAGGAGCCAGUGCUGCCACUGAUGUCUUAGGGUCGUGGAGCUGAAGAUCCCAGAGGAGCCGGUGCUGCUAUUCUAGCUUGAGUUUCGUGGAGCUGGAGACCCAGGGAGAAGAUGGUGCUGCUGUUCUAAUUUAAGGAUCGUGAAACAGAAGACCCAGAAAGGAGCUGGUGCUGCCGCUGCUCAGAUCUGAGGGUGUUGGAGCUGGAGCCUGGGGGUGGAGCCAUUGCUGCCAUUGAAGUGUGAGAGUCAUUGAGCUGGAAGUCCAGGAAGCAGCUGGUGCUGCUGUUCUAGUUUGAGGGUUGUGGAGUGCAGACCCAGGCAGGAGCAACAUUGCUGUAGUUCGAGGGUCAGAAAGCUGGCGACCCAGGGAGGAGAGGUCUUGUUCUAGUUUGAUUUUCGUGGAGCUGCAGACCCAGGCAGGAGCAAUGUUGCUGUAGUUCGAGGGUCCGGUAGCUGGCAACCCGGGGAGGAGAAGUCUUGUUCGAGUUUGAGGGUCGUGGAGCUGCCGACCCAGGGAGGAGCAAUUUGGUUGUAAUUUGAGGGUCCAGAAGCUGGAGACCCAGGGAGGAGAGAGAUCUUGUUCUGGUCUGAGGGUUGUGGAGCCACAGACCCAGGGAGGAGCAAUUUUGUUGUAAUUUGAGGGUCAGGAAGCUGGCGACCCAGGGAGGAGAGGUCUUGUUCUAGUUUGAGGGUCGUGGAGCUGCCGACCCAGGGAGGAGCAAUUUUGUUGUAAUUCGAGGAUCAGGAAGCUGGCGACCCAGUGGAGGAGAGGUCUUGUUCUGGUCUGAGGGUCAUGGAGCUGCAGACCCAGGGAGGAGCAAUGUUGUUGUAAUUCGAGGGUGUGGUAGCUGGCAACCUGGGGAGGAGAAGUCUUGUUCGAGUUUGAGGCUCGUGGAGCUGCCGACCAGGGAGGAGCAAUUUUGUUGCAGUUCGAGGGUCAGGAAGCUGGCGACCCAGGGAGGAGAGGUCUUCUUCUGGUCUGAGGGUCGUGGAGCUGCAGACCCAGGGAGGAGCAAUGUUGUUGUAAUUCGAGGGUCUGGUAGCUGGCAACCUGGGGAGGAGAAGUCUUGUUCGAGUUUGAGGCUGGUGGAGCUGCUGAUCAGGGAGGAGCAAUUUUGUUGUAGUUCGAGGGUCAGGAAGCUGGUGACCCAGGGAGGAGAGGUCUUGUUUUAGUUUGAGGGUGGUGGAGCUGCAGACCCAGGGAGGAGCAAUUUGGUUGUAAUUCGAGGGUCUGGAAGCUGGAGACCCAGGGAGGAGAGGUCUUGUUCUAGUUUGAGGGUCGUGGAGCUGCCGAACCAGGGAGGAGAAGUCUUGUUUUAGUUUGAGGGUCGUGGAGCUGCCGAACCAGGGAGGCGCAAUUUGGUUGUAAUUGGAGGGUCCGGAAGCUGGUGACCCACGGAGGAGAUGUCUUGUUCUGGUCUGAGGGUCGUGGAGCUACAUACCCAGGGAGGAGCAAUGUUGUUGUAAUUCGAGGGUGUGGUAGCUGGCAACCUGGGGAGGAGAAGUCUUGUUCGAGUUUGAGGCUCGUGGAGCUGCCGACCAGGGAGGAGCAAUUUUGUUGUAGUUCGUGGGUCAGGAAUCUGGCGACCCAGGGAGGAGAGGUCUUUAGUUUGAGGGUUGUGGAACUGCAGACCCAGGCAGGAGCAAUGUUGUUGUAAUUCAAGGGUCCGGAAGCUGGUGACCCAGGGAGGAGAGGUCUUGUUCUAGUUUGAGGGUCGUGGAGCUGCCGACCCAGGGAGGAGCAAUUUGGUUGUAAUUGGAGAGUCCGGAAGCUGGAGACCCAGGGAGGAGAGGUCUUGUUCUAGUUUGAGGGUCGUAGAGCUGCAGACCCAGGGAGGAGCAAUUCUGUUGUAAUUCGAGGGUCUGGAAGCUGGAGACCGAGGGAGGAGAGGUCUUGUUGUAGUUUGAGGGUCGUGGAGCUGCCGAACCAGGGAGGAGCAAUGUUGUUUUAAUUGGAGGGUCCGAAAGCUGGCGACCCAGGGAGGAGAGGCCUUGUUCUGGUGUGAGGGUCGUGGAGCUGCAGACCCAGGGAGGAGCAAUUUUGUUGUAAUUCAAGGGUCCGGUAGCUGGCAACCCAGGGAAGAGAAGUGUUGUUGGAGUUUGAGGGUCGUGGAGCUGCCGACCCAGGGAGGAGCAAUUUGGUUGUAAUUCGAGGGUCAGGAAGCUGGCGACCCAGGUGAGGAGAGGUCUUCUUCUGGUCUGAGGGUCGUGGAGCUGCAGACCCAGGGAGGAGCAAUGUUGUUGUAAUUCGAGGGUCUGGUAGCUGGCAACCUGGGAAGGAGAAGUCUUGUUCGAGUUUGAGGCUGCUGGAGCUGCUGAUCAGGGAGGAGCAAUUUUGUUGUAGUUCGAGGGUCAGGAAGCUGGUGACCCAGGGAGGAGAGGUCUUGUUUUAGUUUGAGGGUGGUGGAGCUGCAGACCCAGGGAGGAGCAAUUUGGUUGUAAUUCGAGGGUCUGGAAGCUGGAGACCCAGGGAGGAGAGGUCUUGUUCUGGUUUGAGGGUCAUGGAGCUGCCGAACCAGGGAGGAGCAAUUUGGUUGUAAUUGGAGGGUCCGGAAGCUGGUGACCCAGGGAGGAGAGGUCUUGUUUUAGUUUGAGGGUUGCGGAACUGCAGACCCAGGCAGGAGCUAUGUUGUUGUAAUUCAAGGGUCUGGAAGCUGGCGACCCAGGGAGGAGAGGUCUUGUUCUAGUUUGAGGGUCGUGGAGCUGCCGACCCAGGGAGGAGCAAUUUGGUUGUAAUUCGAGGGUCAGGAAGCUGGCGACCCAGGGAGGAGAGGUCUUCUUCUGGUCUGAGGGUCAUGGAGCUGCAGACCCAGGGAGGAGCAAUAUUGUUGUAAUUCGAGGGUCUGGAAGCUGGAGACCGAGGGAGGAGAGGUCUUGUUCUAGUUUGAGGGUCGUGGAGCUGCCGAACCAGGGAGGAGCAAUGUUGUUGUAAUUGGAGGGUCGGAAAGCUGGCGACCCAGGGAGGAGAGGUCUUGUUCUGGUGUGAGGGUCGUGGAGCUGCAGACCCAGGGAGGAGCAAUUUUGUUGUAAUUCAAGGGUCCGGUAGCUGGCAAACCAGGGAAGAGAAGUGUUGUUGGAGUUUGAGGGUCAUGGAGCUGCCGACCCAGGGAGGAGCAAUUUGGUUGUAAUUCGAGGGUCAGGAAGCUGGCGACCCAGGGGAGGAGAGGUCUUCUUCUGGUCUGAGGGUCGUGGAGCUGCAGACCCAGGGAGGAGCAAUGUUGUUGUAAUUCGAGGGUCUGGUAGCUGGCAACCUGGGAAGUAGAAGUCUUGUUCGAGUUUGAGGCUGGUGGAGCUGCUGAUCAGGGAGGAGCAAUUUUGUUGUAGUUCGAGGGUCAGGAAGCUGGUGACCCAGGAAGGAGAGGUCUUGUCUUAGUUUGAGGGUGGUGGAGCUGCAGACCCAGGGAGGAGCAAUUUGGUUGUAAUUCGAGGGUCUGGAAGCUGGAGACCCAGGGAGGAGAGGUCUUGUUCUAGUUUGAGGGUCGUGGAGCUGCCGAACCAGGGAGGAGCAAUGCUGUUGUAAUUCGAGGGUCCGGAAGCUGGCGACCGAGGGAGGAGAGGUCUUGUUCUAGUUUGAGGGUCGUGGAGCUGCCGAACCAGGGAGGCGCAAUUUGGUUGUAAUUGGAGGGUCCGGAAGCUGGUGACCCAGGGAGGAGAUGUCUUGUUCUGGUCUGAGUGUCGUGGAGCUACAUACCCAGGGAGGAGCAAUGUUGUUGUAAUUCGAGGGUGUGGUAGCUGGCAACCUGGGGAGGAGAAGUCUUGUUCGAGUUUGAGGCUCGUGGAGCUGCCGACCAGGGAGGAGCAAUUUUGUUGUAGUUUGUGGGUCAGGAAUCUGGCGACCCAGGGAGGAGAGGUCUUGCUUUAGUUUGAGGGUUGUGGAACUGCAGACCCAGGCAGGAGCAAUGUUGUUGUAAUUCAAGGGUCCGGAAGCUGGUGACCCAGGGAGGAGAGGUCUUGUUCUAGUUUGAGGGUCGUGGAGCUGCCGACCCAGGGAGGAGCAAUUUGGUUGUAAUUGGAGGGUCCGGAAGCUGGAGACCCAGGGAGGAGAGGUCUUGUUCUAGUUUUAGGGUCGUAGAGCUGAAGACCCAGGGAGGAGCAAUUCUGUUGUAAUUCGAGGGUCUGGAAGCUGGAGACCCAGGGAGGAGAGGUCUUGUUGUAGUUUGAGGGUCGUGGAGCUGCCGAACCAGGGAGGAGCAAUGUUGUUGUAAUUGGAGGGUCCGAAAGCUGGCGACCCAGGGAGGAGAGGUCUUGUUCUGGUGUGAGGGUCGUGGAGCUGCAGACCCAGGGAGGAGCAAUUUUGUUGUAAUUCAAGGGUCCGGUAGCUGGCAACCCAGGGAAGAGAAGUGUUCUUGGAGUUUGAGGGUCGUGGAGCUGCCGACCCAGGGAGGAGCAAUUUGGUUCUAAUUCGAGGGUCAGGAAGCUGGCGACCCAGGUGAGGAGAGGUCUUGUUCUGGUAUGAGGGUCGUGGAGCUGCAGACCCAGGGAGGAGCAAUUUUGUUGUAAUUCAAGGGUCCGGUAGCUGGCAACCCGGGUAGGAGAAGUCUUGUUCGAGUUUGAGGGUCGUGGAGCUGCCGAACCAGGGAGGCGCAAUUUGGUUGUAAUUGGAGGGUCCGGAAGCUGGUGACCCAGGGAGGAGAUGUCUUCUUCUGGUCUGAUGGUCGUGGAGCUACAUACCCAGGGAGGAGCAAUGUUGUUGUAAUUCGAGGGUGUGGUAGCUGGCAACCUGGGGAGGAGAAGUCUUGUUGGAGUCUGAGGCUCGUGGAGCUGCCGACCAGGGAGGAGCAAUUUUGUUGUAGUUCGUGGGUCAGGAAUCUGGCGACCCAGGGAGGAGAGGUCUUGUUUUAGUUUGAGGGUUGUGGAACUGCAGACCCAGGCAGGAGCAAUGUUGUUGUAAUUCAAAGGUCCGGAAGCUGGAGACACAGGGAGGAGAGGUCUUGUUCUAGUUUGAGGGUCGUAGAGCUGCAGACCCAGGGAGGAGCAAUUCUGUUGUAAUCCGAGGGUCUGGAAGCUGGAGACCCAGGGAGGAGAGGUCUUGUUGUAGUUUGAGGGUCGUGGAGCUGCCGAACCAGGGAGGAGCAAUGUUGUUGUAAUUGGAGGGUCCGAAAUCUGGCGACCCAGGGAGGAGAGGUCUUGUUCUGGUGUGAGGGUCAUGGAGCUGCAGACCCAGGGAGGAGCAAUUUUGUUGUAAUUCAAGGGUCCGGUAGCUGGCAACCCAGGGAAGAGAAGUGUUGUUGGAGUUUGAGGGUCGUGGAGCUGCCGACCCAGAGAGGAGCAAUUUGGUUGUAAUUCGAGGGUCAGGAAGCUGGCGACCAAGGGGAGGAGAGGUCUUCUUCUGGUCUGAGGGUCGUGGAGCUGCAGACCCAGGGAGGAGCAAUGUUGUUGUAAUUCGAGGGUCUGGUAGCUGGCAACCUGGGGAGGAGAAGUCUUGUUCGAGUUUGAGGCUGGUGGAGCUGCUGAUCAGGGAGGAGCAAUUUUGUUGUAGUUCGAGGGUCAGGAAGCUGGUGACCCAGGAAGGAGAGGUCUUGUUUUAGUUUGAGGGUGGUGGAGCUGCAGACCCAGGGAGGAGCAAUUUGGUUGUAAUUCGAGGGUCUGGAAGCUGGAGACCCAGGGAGGAGAGGUCUUGUUCUAGUUUGAGGGUCGUGGAGCUGCCGAACCAGGGAGGAGCAAUGCUGUUGUAAUUCGAGGGUCCGGAAGCUGGCGACCCAGGGAGGAGAGGUCUUGUUUUAGUUUGAGGGUCGUGGAGCUGCAGACCCAGGGAGGAGC
rnacentral:lncRNA from 1 species